ACGGCCGUACCAUGCAGAAUAUACCGGCUCUCGUUCGAUAACCGAAGUCAAACAUCAGCGGGCGCGGUCAGUACUAGGGAGGGUGAUCACUGGGAAAGA